rnacentral:rRNA from 1 species
AAUCAAGCGUUUAAGGGCGUGUAGUGGAUGCCUUGGCACUGAAAGCCGAUGAAGGACGUGAUAUACUGCGAUAAGUUUCGGGGAGCUGUAUGUAAGUUUUGAUCCGAAAAUUUCCGAAUGGGGAAACCCACCACUUUAUGUGGUACUUUAAACUGAAUACAUAGGUUUAAAGAGACAACCUGGAGAACUGAAACAUCUAAGUAACCAGAGGAAAAGAAAUCAAAUGAGAUUCCGUUAGUAGUGGCGAGCGAACGCGGAACAGGCCAGUAGUUUUGUUAAAAAAAUUUGAAUAGUUUGGAAAUGCUAACCAUAGAGGGUGAUAGUCCCGUAUGAGUAAUGUUUAACAAAAUUCUUGAGUAAAGCGGGACACGUGAAAUCCUGCUCGAAUAUAGGGGGACCACCCUCUAAGCCUAAAUACUCUUCAGUGACCGAUAGUGAACUAGUACCGUGAGGGAAAGGUGAAAAGAACCCCUAUUAGGGGAGUGAAAUAGAACCUGAAACUGCAUGCCUACAAUCAGUCGAAGCUCUUUUUAGAGUGACGGCGUACCUUUUGUAUAAUGGGUCAGUGACUUAAUUUAUAAAGCAAGCUUAAGCCAUCUAGGUGUAGGCGAAGCGAAAGCAAGUCUUAAUAGGGCGAUUAGUUUUAUGAAUUAGACCCGAAAACGAAUGAGCUUACCAUGAGCAGGUUGAAAGUAAGGUAACACUUACCGGAGGACCGAACCAGUUGACGUUGAAAAGUCUUUGGAUGACUUGUGGUAAGGGGUGAAAGGCCAACCAAAUUCGUAGAUAGCUGGUUUUCC